rnacentral:rRNA from 1 species
GACGUAGGGCGCGAGCGUUGUCCGGAUUUAUUGGGCGUAAAGAGCUCGUAGGCGGUUCGUCGCGUCGGCUGUGAAAACCUGAGGCUCAACCUCAGGCCUGCAGUCGAUACGGGCGGACUUGAGUACUGCAGGGGAGACUGGAAUUCCUGGUGUAGCGGUGAAAUGCGCAGAUAUCAGGAGGAACACCAAUGCGAAGGCAGCUCGCUGGAACGUUACUGACGCUGAGACGCGAAAGCGUGGGGAGCAAACAGG